rnacentral:lncRNA from 1 species
AGACUUUGUUUUACUUUGUUUUAAAAUUAAUCUUAUUGAUCAAGAAACAUAAUGGUGAAGCUAAUUUUUAAUUUCAAUUUUUUUAAAUACAAGGACAUAAAAUUUAGAUAGAGCCCUAUGUUCUUGUGAGCACUAGAGCUGAGUAAUGACCAAGGACUGCAUAUAAUGCAGCACAUUAUACAGUCCUUACACUGUCUCAACACAACUACUCCAACCAAAGUGGGAUGGACCCUGUGGGACCCUGCAGGGUGCAGUAAAUUCUGAUGUUAAAGAUAGGGUGACUUGGAAAUUCUUCCACUAAGUUUAUAAAGGAAUUUCCAAGAUACAUUAAAAUUUCACCUUCACAGAAUUCAGUAGCCAUUAUAAUACUUAAAUAAUACUGAUAAUAAUACUUGAAAUUAUACUGAAAACAAUACUUUAAUUUUUAAUGAGGAUUUUUGAUUGGUUUGAGGUGGUUAUUUCAGAGUUGUUUGGUUGGUUAGUUGGAGGUGUUUGUUAGUUUGUUUGGGGGGUUUGGGGGGGAGGGUUGCUUAGUCAUUUCAUGAAAACUAGUGUAACACAUGACUUAGUGGGACUAUCAAUUUAUUAUGAUUCUUUAAGAAGUAAUUCACAUUCUGAAUCAUAAUUGCAUGACAAAAAUUGGAUCCUAUUACUAUUUAGUUAUAGCCUAAUAAAUACUGUAUUCCUCUCUUUUCUCAAAACAAUAUGAAUUUCUAGUUUAAUCACUAGUAUUCUGAUAAACAUCACGCUGCCCAAACAGCUCGAUAGAUGUAUUUUAUACCUGUAUUUGUGUAGCUCAUAUAAAAACUCAGUGUGGACUGUCCUAUGUCUGCUUCAUUCAAGAGCUGCCCUGUGAUCUUCUCAUCUCACUAUGCCAACACCUUCUGUCACAGUGUCAUGUACAUAGGCCAAGGUACAAAAAUGACUGUAAACUGCUUAUUCAACAUCUAGUCCAAAAAGGUCUGAGGCAGUGCAAUAACACUGUUAGUUAAAACAUCUCACCAUUUGAAUCAUUUUAAUCUGUGCAUUCUUGACCAUGAAUAUUGAAAUAGUAUUUUUGGACUGUUUUCUCAAGCUUAUAGUGAAAAAUCUGUGUCAUAUCUAUAUAAUCAAUAUGUCAAGUAAUUCAGUUAUUCAGUAUUGCCAAUAACAAACUAAAAAAAAAUCCCAUAUAAUUGCUUAAAUUAUUUUCUGUUGGCAACAUAGGCCUGCCUCAAAUGGUUUCUUUCAGCACUAUUAUAUGUAAAAUAAAGGGAGGAGGGUUAUGGUGAAUUUUUCCUUGCCUGACAUUAGAUCUUUUCACUAAUCAAAGGAUGCACAUUCCUCAGAAUUGACCCAGCUGUUGAAGUCUGGUGUUCCAAGGAAUAUAAUAUUUCUUUUUGGUGUCCAAAAGCUAAAGGUUGGGGGUUAGGGUGUAUGCACAAAGCCCUGGGUUCAAUCCCCAAGCGCGAGCGCACAAACACACACACACACACACACACACACACAAAGAUUUAAGGUAGAUAUUCACAAAAUUAACUUACAUGGACUUUCAAAGGCAG